GCCUUCGUGGUGUAACGGUAGCACACUGAACACGUAUUCGAGAGGUCCAGGUUCGAGUCCCGGCAAAGGCA
rnacentral:tRNA from 1 species